AGUGAACGCUGGCGGUAGGCCUAACACAUGCAAGUCGAACGGCAGCACAGUAAGAGCUUGCUCUUACGGGUGGCGAGUGGCGGACGUGUGAGGAAUACAUCGGAAUCUACUUUUUCGUGGGGGAUAACGUAGGGAAACUUACGCUAAUAUCGCAUACGACCUACGGUUGAAAGCAGUGGAUCUUCGGACCUUGCGCGAUUGAAUGAGCCGAUGUCGGAUUAGCUAGUUGGCGGGGUAAAGGCCCACCAAGGCGACGAUCCGUAGCUGGUCUGAGAGGCUGGUCGCCCACACUGGAACUGAGACGCGGUCCAGACUCCUACGGGAGGCAGCAGUGGGGAAUAUUGGACAAAGGGCGGAAGCCUGAUCCAGCCAUACCGCGUGGGUGAAGAAGGCCUUCGGGUUGUAAAGCCCUUUUGUUGGGAAAGAAAAGCAGCAGGUUAAUACCCCGCUGUUCUGACGGUACCCAAAGAAUAAGCACCGGCUAACUUCGUG
rnacentral:rRNA from 1 species